rnacentral:rRNA from 1 species
GCAUCCUACGGGGCGCAGCAGUGGGGGAUAUUGCACAAUGGAGGAAACUCUGAUGCAGCGACGCCGCGUGAGGGAAGACGGUCUUCGGAUUGUAAACCUCUGUCUUUGGGGAAGAAAAUGACGGUACCCAAAGAGGAAGCUCCGGCUAACUACGUGCCAGCAGCCGCGGUAAUACGUAGGGAGCGAGCGUUGUCCGGAAUUACUGGGUGUAAAGGGAGUGUAGGCGGGCGAGAAAGUUGAAUGUUAAAUUUAUAGGUUUAACUGGUAGUUGGGUUUAAAAAUUCUUGUGUUGAGUGAAGAAGAGG